rnacentral:lncRNA from 1 species
GUCAUACAGACAAGAAGGGCAGGCCGAUGAAUGCCACAAUCGAGAGGAUUUUUAUAAGUAAUAACUGAAGUAUGAUUCAUAUAAUUUAUAUUAUAGCAUUUCUUAUGAGAUUUUAUUUGAAUUUAUAAUUACAUGGCAGUUAGAUGUACUUGCGAGCGAGGGUCCGGACACCUCUGGCCCCCAUGACCAUCUGUCUCAAGUCUUAAGACUUCAGCACUUUGGGAGGAUUCAUUGUAGGCCCGAACAUAUACCGAUAAACUACUGGUCUGAGGUG